rnacentral:rRNA from 1 species
UACGUAGGGUGCGAGCGUUGUCCGGAAUUAUUGGGCGUAAAGAGCUCGUAGGCGGCUUGUCGCGUCGUCUGUGAAAUCCCGCGGCUCAACUGCGGGCUGGCAGUCGAUACGGGCAGGCUGGAGUUCGGUAGGGGAGACUGGAAUUCCUGGUGUAGCGGUGAAAUGCGCAGAUAUCGGGAGGAACACCGGUGGCGAAGGCGGUUCUCUGGGCCUUACCUGACGCUGAGGAGCGAAAGCGUGGGGAGCGAACAGG